GACUCGGUGGCGAAUGGUCAGCCUCUGCCGAGUUUGAAAAUGUAGGUCGCGUACUUGUUUAGCAGAAGACGCCCGUUCGAUUCGGGCCCGAGUCA